AGUUGCUAACAUAUUUCAGGUGGUUGCUAGGCAGCUGCUAAGUGGUUGCUAGGCAGUUGCUAACGUUUUCCAGGUGGUUGCUAAGUGGUUGCUAGGCAGUUGCUAACGUUUUCCAGGUGGUUGCUAGGCAGUUGCUAAGUGGUUGCUAGGCAGUUGCUAACGUUUUCCAAGUGGUUACUAGGCAGUUGCUAAGUGGUUGCUAGGCAGUUGCUAACGUUUUCCAGGUGGUUGCUAAGGUGUUGCUAAGUGGUUGCUAGGCAGUUGCUAACGUUUUCCAGGUGGAUGCUAAGGUGGUUGCUAAGCAGUUAUUAGGUGGUUGCUAAGCCCUGGCUGGGGUGCCGGGGUGUCCAAACUUUUGACUGAUAGCUGCUCCAUACAGCAGCUCCUCCAUACACUCAC